rnacentral:rRNA from 1 species
AACGAACGCUGGCGGCAUGCCUAACACAUGCAAGUCGAACGAGACCUUCGGGUCGUAGUGGCGCACGGGUGGCGUAACGCGUGGGAAGUCUGCCCUUGGGUUCGGGAAUAACUGUGGGAAACGUACAGCUAAUACCGGAUAAUGUCUUCGGACCAAAGAUUUAUCGCCCAGGGAUGAGCCCGCGUAGGAUUAGCUAGUUGGUGAGGUAAAGGCUCACCAAGGCGACGAUCCUUAGCUGGUCUGAGAGGAUGAUCAGCCACACUGGGACUGAGACACGGCCCAGACUCCUACGGGAGGCAGCAGCGGGGAAUAUUGGACAAUGGGCGAAAGCCUGAUCCAGCAAUGCCGCGUGAGUGAUGAA